rnacentral:rRNA from 1 species
AUUGAACGCUGGCGGCAGGCUUAACACAUGCAAGUCGAGCGAGCGGCGGACGGGUGAGUAAUGUCUGGGAAACUGCCUGAUGGAGGGGGAUAACUACUGGAAACGGUAGCUAAUACCGCAUACCAUCAGAUGUGCCCAGAUGGGAUUAGCUAGUAGGUGGGGGAAUGGCUCACCUAGGCGACGAUCCCUAGCUGGGCAGAGAGGAUGCCCAGCCACACUGGACCUGAUACCCGGUCCAUACGCCUACGGGAGGCAGCAGUUGGGAAUAUUGCACAAUGGGCGCAAGCCUGAUGCAGCCAUGCCGCGUGUGUGAAGAAGGCCUUCGGGUUGUAAAGCACUUUCAGCGAGGAGGCGUUACUCGCAGAAGAAGCACCGGCUAACUCCGUGCCAGCCGCCGCGGUAAUUC